rnacentral:rRNA from 1 species
GAUGAACGCUAGCUACAGGCUUAACACAUGCAAGUCGAGGGGAAACGAUAUUGGAAGCUUGCUUCCGAUAGGCGUCGACCGGCGCACGGGUGGGUAACGCGUAUCCAACCUGCCCACCACUUGGGGAUAACCUUGCGAAAGUAAGACUAUACCCAAUGAUAUCUCUAGAAGACAUCUGAAGGAGAUUAAAGAUUUAUCGGUGAUGGAUGGGGAUGCGUCUGAUUGGCUUGUUGGCGGGGUAACGGCCCACCAAGGCGACGAUCAGUAGGGGUUCUGGGAGGAAGGUCCCCCAAAUUGGAACUGAGACACGGUCCAAACUCCUACGGGAGGCAGCAGUGAGGAAUAUUGGUCAAUGGACGAGAGUUUGAACCAGCCAAGUAGCGUGCAGGAUGACGGCCCUAUGGGUUGUAAACUGCUUUUAUAAGGGAAUAAAGUGAGCCUCGUGAGGCUUUUUGCAUGUACCUUAUGAAUAAGGACCGGCUAAUUCCGUGCCAGCCGCCGCGGUAA